GGUGAUGACGUUGGGUAGGAGUUGGAAGUAUAUUGAAUGCAUUCUUUACUCCUCUAAAUAAUAUUAAUUCUCUCUCACACAACGGACACACAUUGUUAAUGGCAUAAUGUAAUCUGUUCUUCUUGACGACCGCUUCCGUCGCACCAUUUACCGGCCGAUCCGUUCUUCCCCAUUUCCUCUCUCUCUUUCUCUCUCCCACUAUUCCUCUCUUUCGUUUCUUCACGGAGCCGGAGGAAAGAGAAGGGAAAGAGAGGGAGAGAAGGGGACCUUAAGGCGAUCGUUUUGUGCAUCUCCUCUCCUUCCGGGGCUGGGAUGUGUACCCGUUGAAUCCGCGCCGAGUCGGGUUCACGCUCCUUGCAGCAGGUGGAAUAGGAGGAAGAAAAGACUGCUUUCUGAGGGGAGGAGGAGAUAGGCGGAGGAGAUGAGUGCGUCCAGGUUCAUAAAGUGCGUCACGGUGGGCGACGGCGCCGUCGGUAAGACCUGCAUGCUCAUAUCGUACACCAGCAACACUUUCCCCACGGAUUAUGUCCCUACAGUAUUCGACAAUUUCAGUGCUAAUGUUGUAGUUGAUGGUAACACAGUUAACAUAGGCCUGUGGGAUACUGCUGGCCAGGAGGAUUACAACAGACUUAGACCUUUGAGCUAUCGAGGUGCAGAUGUUUUUUUGCUGGCAUUCUCUUUGAUAAGUAAAGCGAGCUAUGAAAAUGUGGCUAAGAAGUGGAUUCCUGAGCUGAGUCACUACGCACCUGGUGUGCCUAUAAUUCUUGUUGGAACAAAGCUUGAUCUCCGGGAUGAUAAGCAGUUUUUUAUAGAUCACCCUGGUGCAGUACCUAUGAGUACUGCUCAGGGGGAAGAGUUGAGGAAGCUGAUUGGCGCGGCAGCCUACAUCGAGUGCAGCUCCAAGACCCAGCAAAAUGUUAAGGCAGUUUUUGAUGCGGCCAUUAAAGUGGUGCUUCAGCCACCCAAUCUGAAGAAAAAUAAGGGGAAAGGACAUACGAGUUGCUCCAUCUUGUGAAUAUAGACUGACCCCCUAUCUUGGAAGUGCCUUGCUCCAUUUUGCGGAUCUUGUUUGUGGCCUACAAACAACCGAAGCAUUAGAUGGACGUUGGCUGUCGAUCAAACGGCUUCUGAUCGAUCUCAGCGCUGGGGAACCAUUGAAGCCUGACGUCAUCUUCAUCCUGGAAAGCGGCGGUUCGGCGUUCCGCUGCAGCCAAUCCUCCUUAUUUGCUUCUUUUCAAAGUAAUAUUUCGCUAGGGCUCCAUCGAUCCAUGCUUAGGUCAGAAAGAUUGCGAGCUAUUUCCUUCCGAAAUACUCUCUUACAUUCCUGUUCUUUUUGCUCUUCUCGUCUCUGUCUUUGCUCUCUUGGUUGGGGGGUUUCGGCGAGAAGAGAAACCC